GUCCACACCUAGUCAGCGUUACGUCAUUAUACUGGAUGUAAUGUGUUACAGGCGUGGUAGAGAAAAACUAUUCUCUGCAUUUCUAUUACAAUAACAUUGUUUUAAUGAUAUUUUGUAGAAUUAGUUUUGAAUGCAUGUCUUUCUGAGAGUUGGUCAUGUAAACUAUUAUGUGAUCAUAGUAUGAAAGGCAACAUAA